CCAGGACCGAUGGGUCUACACUGACCAGCUAGUGUUGGUUAAACCCUACUGGGGGACAGUUUUCCCAGUGAAGGUAAACCCUGAUUCUUAUAUGGCCUUCAUCACAGUAGUAGAUGAGAUCCUUCCAGGAGUGCAUUGAAUAAUGAGUGAAGAACUGGGCCCAGGGAUUUUGAGACUAUCACCUACAAUAAUUUUCUUGCAGUUGCAGCCAAGCAAGAUCUGCUGCUGAAGUUUCUGACUAACGGGAAGGCACUCUGCAGUCUCUGAGACCAGAGAACAAUUACGGUACAGUCUCAGAGAAAAGAAAGAAAACUGGGGUCAUAAAUAUGUUAAAUGAGUGC